rnacentral:rRNA from 1 species
AAUGAACGCUGGCGGCAUGCCUAACACAUGCAAGUCGAACGAAGGCUUCGGCCUUAGUGGCGCACGGGUGCGUAACGCGUGGGAAUCUGCCCUCAGGUUCGGAAUAACAGCGAGAAACUGCUGCUAAUACCGGAUGAUAUCGCGAGAUCAAAGAUUUAUCGCCUGAGGAUGAGCCCGCGUAGGUUUAGCUAGUUGGUGUGGUAAAGGCGCACCAAGGCGACGAUCCUUAGCUGGUCUGAGAGGAUGAUCAGCCACACUGGGACUGAGACACGGCCCAGACUCCUACGGGAGGCAGCAGUGGGGAAUAUUGAACAAUGGGCGAAAGCCUGAUCCAGCAAUGCCGCGUGAGUGAUGAAGGCCUUAGGGUUGUAAAGCUCUUUUACCCGGGAUGAUAAUGACAGUACCGGGAGAAUAAGCUCCGGCUAACUCCGUGCCAGCCGCCGCAGUAA